GGAAAUUUUACUGUUUUUGGUUAUUAUCUUGAAAAUUAUUAAAGAUAGAAAUAAACUGUAAACAGCAAUAAUGUUCAGCAAAGUAAGAUUUACAAAUAAGUCAACAUGACCGAAAUGGUCAGUUGACCCAUAUAGGAGUUAUUGUCCUUUAUAGUCAAUUUUUAACCAUUUUUCGUAAAUCUUAGUAAUCUUUUACAAAAAUCUUCUCCUCUGAAACUACUGGGCCAAAUUGAUCCAAACUUAUCCACAAUCAUCUUUUGGGUAUCUAGUUUCAAAAAUGUGUCCGAUGACCCGGCCAUCCAACCAAGAUGGCCGCCAUGGCUAAAAAUAGAAGAUAGGGGUAAAAUGCAGUUUUUGGCUUAUAACUCAAAAACCAAAGCCUUUAGAGCAAAUCUGACAGGGGGAUAAAUCGGACAACCCGUUGUUGGGUUCCUGCCCCUGAAUUGGUAAUUUUAAGGAAAUUUUACUGUUUUUGGUUAUUAUCUUGAAAAUUAUUAUAGAUAGAAAUAAACUGUAAACAGCAAUAAUGUUCAGCAAAGUAAGAUUUACAAAUAAGUCAACAUGACCGAAAUGGUCAAUUGACCCCCUAAGGAGUUAUUGUCCUUUAUAGUCAAUUUUCAACAAUUUUUAUAAAAUUUGUAAAUUUUUACUAACAUUUUCCACUGAAACUACUGGGCCAACUUCAUUAUAGAUAGAGAUAAUUGUAAGCUGCAAGGAUGUUCAGUAAAGUAAGAUGUACAAACACAUCACCAUCACCAAAAUACAAUUUUGUCAUGAAUCCAUCUGCUUCCUUUGUUUAAUAGUCACAUAGACCAAGGUGAGCGACACAGGCUCUUUAGAGCCUCUAGUUUAGUCUUAAUAUUGAUGUGUUCAGCUUUUUUUUACUAUAUUUUUGUUAAAGGAUAUUGUUAUGGUGUUUACCUAAGAGAAUUGGUGUAAUCAUUUAUUAACAUCAUGUACAUUGAAUAUUAUUUAUGUGUUUAGCUUUUUAUGCUAUACCGGUAUUUUAUUCUAUGAUAUUGUAAAG
rnacentral:lncRNA from 1 species